rnacentral:rRNA from 1 species
CCUACGGGUGGCAGCAGUGAGGAAUAUUGGUCAAUGGGCGUAAGCCUGAACCAGCCAAGUCGCGUGAGGGAUGAAGGUUCUAUGGAUCGUAAACCUCUUUUAUAAGGGAAUAAAGUGUGGGACGUGUCCUGUUUUGUAUGUACCUUAUGAAUAAGGCUCGGCUAUCUCCGUGCCAGCAGCCGCGGUAAUACGGAGGAUCCGAGCGUUAUCCGGUUUUAUUGGGUUUAAAGGGUGUGUAGGCGGCCUUUUAAGUCAGCGGUGAAAGUCUGUGGCUCAACCAUAGAAUUGCAGUUGAAACUGGGAGGAUUUAGUAUGUUUGAGGCAGGCGGAAUGCGUGGUGUAGCGGUGAAAUGCUUAGAUAUCACGCAGAACCCCGAUUGCGAAGGCAGCCUGCCAAGCCAUGACUGACGCUGAUGCACGAAAGCGUGGGGAUCAAACAGGAUUAGAUACCCCGGUAGUC